rnacentral:misc_RNA from 1 species
UCAAACUUGGUCAUUUAGAGGAAGUAAAAGUCGUAACAAGGUUUCCGUAGGUGAACCUGCGGAAGGAUCAUUAAUGAAUAAACUUGGUUUGGGCUGUUGCUGGCCUUUUUUUCUUUGAAGAGGCAUGUGCACGCCUAUUCCGACUUUAUAACCACCUGUGCACCUUGUGUAGAUAUGAAAUAAGACUCGAGAAUUGAAUCUCGGUUUAGAGGAUUGCUGUGUUUAAAUCAUGCCAGCUUUCCUUUAUCAUUUCAUAUUUACAUUUUAUCAUACACCAUAUUAAAGUACUUGAAUGAAAUAAUUGAGGCAUCUGCCUGUAAACAUAUACAACUUUCAACAACGGAUCUCUUGGCUCUCGCAUCGAUGAAGAACGCAGC